rnacentral:rRNA from 1 species
GGCCUGGUCGAGUGGUCCGCUUAACAGUGUGUACUGCUUGACUGAGUCUUACCUCUUGGUGAGCCAGCGUGCCCUUUAUUGGCGUGCGUUGGGGAACCAGGACUUUUACCUUGAGAAAAUUAGAGUGUUCAAAGCAGGCCUAUGCCCGAAUACAUUAGCAUGGAAUAAUAGAAUAGGACUGCGGUUCUAUUUUGUUGGUUUCUAGGACCGAAGUA